rnacentral:rRNA from 1 species
UACGUAGGCAGCGAGCGUUGUUCGGAAUUACUGGGCGUAAAGAGUGUGUAGGCGGUGCUCUAAGUUCGGUGUGAAAUCUCCCGGCUUAACUGGGAGGGUGCGCCGGAAACUGGAGUGCUCGAGCGUGGGAGAGGAAAGCGGAAUUCCUGGUGUAGCGGUGAAAUGCGUAGAUAUCAGGAGGAACACCUGCGGUGUAGACGGCUUUCUGGCCCGAUACUGACGCUGAGGUGCGAAAGCGUGGGGAGCAAACAGG